CUUUGUGCACUUUGCUUCUGCGGCCCAGGGUUUCGCCAGCUGGGAUUCUGAGCAUGGACCCAGCACUGGAGAUCAAGCCAUGCUGAGGCAGCGUCCCCACAUAGCAGAGCCAGAAGGACCUACGACUAGAAUAUACAACUAUGUACUGGGGGGCUUUGGGAGAAGAAGAAGAAGAAGAAAAAGAAGCUUGGCAACAGAUGUUAGCUCAGUGAAAAUCCUUGGAGGAUGCAAUUGGACUCAAAACAAUAAGAGAGAUGAAAAUAGUUCUGUGAUAGAAGCAAAUCUGCCAAAACCAGUUCAGUGUUUUCAGUAAAGUAUUCCCGCACGCUCACCCACCUUCUUCUCAUCCUAGCCAGAGUGGUUUUUCAGAAAUUAAUAUCAAAUUAAAGCAGAACUACUCUUCCUACCAUUGUUGACCCUACUCCACACUCUACCCAGAUGAUGAAGAUCAGGGAUGUUGCCGGCUUUUAUUUUGUAUCACCCAUGUAUAGAAGUAUACCUGUGCACAGUAGAAUCCCAAAUAUAUUUUAAAUGAAAUUGUUGAAUGGAGACCAAAAUUUAAGAAGGCAGAAUUGGACAUGGCCAUCGCCUCGAGCUAAUGGAAGUCUUCAUGUUAUAACUCAUGAUUGUGAUGGAAACAGAUGUUCUUUUAACUCAAUAACACUAUGUUGGAGGACGUGCAUCAUUCUGAAGACGUGACCGUCAGUUGACCUAUGAGCUGGACCCAGGCAAUCAGAGGCUGCUUACUCCCUCCCCUGUCCUUGAAAUGUAUGUUCUGCCCACCAUUCCCAUAGUGGGAGCCAUUUACAAGGACAUAGGCUUGAGAAAGCAAUGUGUUGUUGAAACCACCUGGACAGGAUCCUUGACUCAACCCAGUUAAGGCCUCUACAUAAACUUUUAAGAUUCUGGUGGGCAGGUACAGAGACCUACUCAUCUUGCAACCGCCAAACCCAAGCCUCACAUGUAAGUUCCCUUGGUUAUUAAACCUGCCACCUGCCAAUCCGGAGUGUCUUGCCUCUUUCUUGGUUUCUCCUUACCCUCCG
rnacentral:lncRNA from 1 species